rnacentral:rRNA from 1 species
UACGGAGGGUGCAAGCGUUAAUCGGAAUUACUGGGCGUAAAGCGCACGUAGGCGGUUCGUUAAGUUGGAUGUGAAAGCCCUGGGCUCAACCUGGGAAUUGCGAUGGAUACUGGCGGGCUAGAGUACGGUAGAGGAUGGUGGAAUUCCCGGUGUAGCGGUGAAAUGCGUAGAGAUCGGGAGGAACACCCGUGGCGAAGGCGGCCAUCUGGACCAGUACUGACGCUGAGGCACGAAAGCGUGGGGAGCAAAC